rnacentral:lncRNA from 1 species
GUUGGAAAUGGCAAUAAGGAAGACCCACUUCCAGCACUAAGAAGCCGCAGCUGACAAUCUGGCGGUGAUGGGACACAGUGGACCCAUCAAUUGCCUAUUAGACACGUGCCUGCCAUAUAUUUUAAUGGGAACCGUAUGUGUGCAGUCCAUGAGUACUUACUGCAAAGGAAGUGAAGUGCUGAGUCCCACCACCCACCCACAUCUGCGGCUUCACAAGCCACAAGAAAGUGGAAAACAAACACGCCACUGGCAUACCCGGAAACCAUGGAAGUCUGGCAAAACCAACCAGAAAGGAAAAGAGAAAUGGAGUGUGGAGACUGUGCUGGUGGGAAGCUGGAGCGUUACAAAAGGGACAUAUUCAAAGGCUUUCUACCUCACUUGGAAAUUCUAUCCCAUUUUUGAUAUAUUUAAAGAAACUAUAAAUUGUUUAGGGCAUGGCCAAAUCCUCUAACGACCUCUUUAAGAAAAAAUGGAAUUACCUAAAUACAAGAAUCAGAAAAAAGGAAAAAUUAUAGUGUAUGGAUACAGCAGAAACCUGUGCAGCUUUAAAGAUAAAUGAAUUAGACUGCAAAAUAAAGCAAGAAGAACAUAUUCAGUAUGAUAUGACUGAUAUGAUGUAUCAGUAGGGAAACAGAUUUAUCUGACAAAAGGAUAACCAAAUGUAAUACAAAACACUUACUUCAAGUUAAUGUUUAUCUUUGGAGCAAAGGAUAGAGAAAAGUGACUGUGAAGUGGUAUUCAGGGGGCUUCAGUCCUGCUGUCUUCAGCUAGAGGACUUGAGGGAAAGUUCCAGAGAGGGGUCAUCUGAGAACUUUCAGUUGCCAUUACUGCCAGCAGCUGGGGGAAUGGGUAUUUGCAUCCUAUAGUGGGGGUCCAUGUGGGUCCUUGGAUAGUAUGGUCACUUUAAUAAAAUUAAUUUUUCUAAUCCACAAGCACAGUAUAUCUUUCCAUCUGUUUAUGUCCUCUUCAGUUUUUUUGCAUCAGUGUUCUAUAAUUUUCUGAGUACAGUUCUUUUCUCUCUUUAGAUUUAUUCCUAGACAUUUUAUUCUUCUUGAUGUGUUUGUAAAUUUUUUUUAUACUUCUGAUAGUUUGUUUUUAAUGUAUAGAAAUGCAACAGAUAUCUGUGCAUUAAUUUUAUAUCCUACAACUUUAAUAAAUUCAUUAAGUUUUAGUAGUUUUUGGUGGCAUCUUUAGGAUUUCCUAUGUAUGGUAUCAUGUCAUCUGCAAGUAGUGAUAGUUUUACUUCUUUUCAAUUUGGAUUUCUUUUAUUUAUUUUUUUAUUGUCUGGUUGAAUCAAACUGGAUUACUCUCUCACACCAUGUGAAAAACUAAAUUCAAAAUGGAUUAAAGACCUAAAUUUAAGACCUGAAACCAUGAAAGUUCUAGAAGAAAGCAUAGGGAGUAUGCUCUUUGGCAUCAGUCUUAGUAAUAUGCUUUUGGAUAUAUCUCAGGAAAGGGAAACGAAGGCAAAAA